rnacentral:rRNA from 1 species
GACGAACGCUGGCGGCGUGCUUAACACAUGCAAGUCGAACGAUAACGAAAAGAAUCGAAGCUUCGGCAGACAUUCAUUUCGGAUUAGUGGCAGACGGGUGAGUAACGCGUGAGCAACCUACCUCUUACAAAGGGAUAGCCUCGGUAAACCGGGAUUAAUACCAUAUAACAUUGCAACGAAGCAUUUCGAUGCAAUCAAAGCUAUGGCGGUAAGAGAUGGGCUCGCGUCCCAUUAACCGGAUGGAGAGGUAACGGCUCACCAUAGUGACGAUGGGUAAACGGCAUGAGAGGGUGGACGGUCACACUGGAAGUGAGACACGGUCCAGACUCCUACGCGAGGCAGCAGUGGGGAAUAUAGCAAAAUGGAGGGAACGAUGAAGCAGCGACGCCGCGUGAGUGAUGAAGGAAGUCGUUAAGUAAAACUCUGUUCUAUGGGAAGAAAAUGACGGUACCAUAGGAGAAAGCUCCGGCUAAAUACGUG